rnacentral:rRNA from 1 species
GAUGAACGCUGACAGAAUGCUUAACACAUGCAAGUCAACUUGAAUUUGGGUUUUUAACUUAGGUUUGGGUGGCGGACGGGUGAGUAACGCGUAAAGAACUUGCCUCACAGCUAGGGACAACAUUUGGAAACGAAUGCUAAUACCUAAUAUUAUGAUAAUAGGGCAUCCUAUAAUUAUGAAAGCUAUAAGCGCUGUGAGAGAGCUUUGCGUCCCAUUAGCUAGUUGGAGAGGUAACGGCUCACCAAGGCGAUGAUGGGUAGCCGGCCUGAGAGGGUGAUCGGCCACAAGGGGACUGAGACCCGGCCCUUACUCCUACGGAGGCAGCAGUGGGGAAUAUUGGACAAUGGACCGAGAGUCUGAUCCAGCAAUUCUGUGUGCACGAUGAAGUUUUUCGGAAUGUAAAGUGCUUUCAGUUGGGAAGAAACAAAUGACGGUACCAACAGAAGAAGUGACGGCUAAAUACGUG